rnacentral:rRNA from 1 species
AUUGAGCGCUGGCGGCAGGCCUAACACAUGCAAGUCGAGCGGUAGCACAGGGAGCUUGCUCCUGGGUGACGAGCGGCGGACGGGUGAGUAAUGUCUGGGAAACUGCCUGAUGGAGGGGGAUAACUACUGGAAACGGUAGCUAAUACCGCAUAACGUCGCAAGACCAAAGAGGGGGACCUUCGGGCCUCUUGCCAUCAGAUGUGCCCAGAUGGGAUUAGCUAGUAGGUGGGGUAACGGCUCACCUAGGCGACGAUCCCUAGCUGGGCUGAGAGGAUGACCAGCCACACUGGAACUGAGACACGGUCCAGACUCCUACGGGAGGCAGCAGUGGGGAAUAUUGCACAAUGGGCGCAAGCCUGAUGCAGCCAUGCCGCGUGUAUGAAGAAGGCCUUCGGGUUGUAAAGUACUUUCAGCGGGGAGGAAGGUGUUGAGGUUAAUAACCUCAGCAAUUGACGUUACCCGCAGAAGAAGCACCGGCUAACUCCGUGCCAGCCGCCGCAGUAACAC